rnacentral:ncRNA from 1 species
ACAGUACAAACUGAGCAGGCGAUGAUCCAAGGUAGGAUCAUGGGGCCGGGCCGUUACUACGGCAGCAGAUGAUAGCUCAUCUGUGGGACAGU